rnacentral:rRNA from 1 species
UGGGGGAUAUUGCGGCAAUGGGGGGCAACCCUGACGCAGCAACGCCGCGUGAAGGAUGAAGGUUUUCGGAUUGUAAACUUCUUUUCUUAAGGACGAAGAAUGACGGUACUUAAGGAAUAAGCUCCGGCUAACUACGUGCCAGCAGCCGCGGUAAUACGUAGGGAGCAAGCGUUGUCCGGAUUUACUGGGUGUAAAGGGUGCGUAGGCGGCAAUGCAAGUCAGAUGUGAAAUCUAUGGGCUCAACCCAUAAACUGCAUUUGAAACUGCGUUGCUUGAGUGAAGUAGAGGCAGGCGGAAUUCCCCGUGUAGCGGUGAAAUGCGUAGAGAUGGGGAGGAACACCAGUGGCGAAGGCGGCCUGCUGGGCUUUAACUGACGCUGAGGCACGAAAGCGUGGGUAGCAAACAGGAUUAGAUACCCUGGUAGU